rnacentral:tRNA from 1 species
GAGGAUAUAGCUCAAAUGGUAGAGUGCCUACCUAGUAAGUGUGAAGUUCUGAUUUCAUAUGUCAGUAUCUCCA